UACGGGGGGGGCAAGCGUUGUUCGGAAUUACUGGGCGUAAAGGGCUCGUAGGUGGCCAACUAAGUCAGACGUGAAAUCCCUCAGCUUAACUGGGGAACUGCGUCUGAUACUGGAUGGCUUGAGUUUGGGAGAGGGAUGCGGAAUUCCAGGUGUAGCGGUGAAAUGCGUAGAUAUCUGGAGGAACACCGGUGGCGAAGGCGACAUCCUGGACCACGACUGACGCUGAGGAGCGAAAGCCAGGGGAGCAAACGGG
rnacentral:rRNA from 1 species